GAUGAAGAACGUAGCUAAAUGCGAUAAGUAAUGUGAAUUGCAGAAUUCAGUGAAUCAUCGAAUCUUUGAACGCACAUUGCGCCCGCCAGUAUUCUGGCGGGCAUGCCUGUCCGAGCGUCAUUUCAACCAUCAAGCCCCGGGCUUGUGUUGGGGACCUGCGUCCGACGCAGGCCCUGAAAACCAGUGGCGGGCUCGCUGUCCACACCGAGCGUAGUAACUAACCUCGCUAUGGAGUGGCGCGGGCGCCUGCCGUAAAACCCCCAAUUUCACAAGGUUGACCUCGGAUCAGGUAGGAAUACCCGCUGAACUUAAGCAUAUCAAUAAGCGGAGGA
rnacentral:misc_RNA from 1 species